rnacentral:rRNA from 11 species
GCGUACCUUUUGUAUAAUGGGUCAGCGACUUACUAGUCUGUAGCAAGCCUAACCGUAUAGGGAAGGCGUAGGGAAACCGAGUCUUAAUAGGGCGCUUAGUUGCAGGCUGUAGACCCGAAACCCGUCGAUCUAUCCAUGUCCAGGGUGAAGUUGUGGUAACACACAAUGGAGGCCCGAACUCACGCCUUUGAAAAAGUCGGAGAUGAGGUGUGGAUAGGAGUGAAAGGCUAAUCAAGGCGGGUGAUAGCUGGUUCUCCUCGAAAGCUAUUGAGGUAGCGCCUCGCGUCUAACUCAGGGGGGUAGAGCACUGUUACGGCUAGGGGGGACAUAAGUCCUUACCAAACCGUUGCAAACUCCGAAUACCCUGAAGUUCAAUCGCGGGAGACACACGGUGGGAGCUAAAUUUCAUCGUGAAGAGGGAAACAACCCAGACCGCCAGCUAAGGUCCCUAAAUCAUCGCUAAGUGGUAAACGAUGUGGAAAGUCAUAGACAGCCAGGAUGUUGGCUUAGAAGCAGCCAUCAUUUAAAGAAAGCGUAACAGCUCACUGGUCAAGCGCUCCUGCGCGGAAAAUGUAACGGGGCUUAAGUGAUACACCGAAGCUGCGGAUUCGAUCUUUGAUCGAGUGGUAGCGGAGCGUUCCGUAGGCCGAUGAAGGCAGACCCGCGAGGGCUGCUGGAGGUAUCGGAAGUGAGAAUGCUGACAUGAGUAGCGACAAAGAGGGUGAGAGACCCUCUCGCCGAAAGUCCAAGGGUUCCUGCGUAAAGCUAAUCUGCGCAGGGUUAGCCGGCCCCUAAGGCGAGGCAGAAAUGCGUAGUCGAUGGGAACCAGGUUAAUAUUCCUGGGCCGUGUGGUGGUGACGGAUCGUGAAGGUAGUUCAUCCUUAUCGGAUUGAAUGGGCUGCUGAUCGGUUCCUGGAAAUAGCCCCACUUUAAGACCGUACCCUAAACCGACACAGGUGGACUGGUAGAGAAUACCAAGGCGCUUGAGAGAACGAUGUUGAAGGAACUCGGCAAAAUACCUCCGUAAGUUCGCGAGAAGGAGGCCCAGUUUCUAGGCAACUAGUGGCUGGGGGCACAAACCAGGGGGUGGCGACUGUUUACUAAAAACACAGGGCUCUGCGAAG